GCGUUUCACAGGUCCAGCAGGGAAGGAGGCGGCCCAGGCCACAAGCACUCGGCACAGGGCUGGUGCCCACUUCCCCCACCCCCGCGGUGCAGUCCUUAGGGUGACUGGGGGGCGUUGCUCAUUUCGGACUCUCAUGCAGCCAGACCCCAGCCUGCCCCAAGCCCCUGACCCCUGGGAUGACACUGGAUCCCUCCCCCCCGGAGAGAGCCUCUUCCCCUCAAGGCAGAGAAUUUAGGAGAGGUGGAUGGGCAGGCCUUUCCCAGCUCUGAGCUCGCUGCCCCUACCCCUUGGGUGUGGUCGUGGGCCUCACACCCCUGACCCCGACCCCGGAUGCCAGCCCCGGCCGUCCUUGCCCACCCGGAGGAGCCGAGCGGGCAGGACCUCAGGCUCCCGGGGCCCCUACAUGGGGCCACCUGCUCCUUCUGGGCAGAGGCGGGGCCGGGGCGGGGCCUCAGGGCAGGCCCCGCCCACCACCCUGCCGCGCAGGCGUGCCACCUCGCCACACCCCGCCACGCCCACCGCCCUGCCGCGCAGGCGCGCCACCCCGCCCCGCCCCGCCGCGCCCCAAGCUCCAGACUAGGGAGCUCCCGGGAGAAAGGACCCGCCACAGAGACUGGGGACUGCGCCCCGGGGCAGGAGCGCAGCGGCUCUCGCAGUCUCCGGGCCCAGCACCGGGCUGAGCGCGGAGCCCCACCUGAGUCAGAGGGGCGACGGGGAGCGGAGGGACCGAAGGACGGGGCUUACACGGAGAGAAGGGUCUCAGUGGCCACCCUCUAGGAAACAGCUCACAGCACCUAAAACUGGGGACGCACUCUGCGUGAAGCCUGCCGGUGGACCCCAAGAAUAAGCACACUGGCUUAAGGGUGCCUGCAGUGCCCCACUGGCUGGGGAACCCCCGGUGCUGUUCUGAGUCACCAAGGCUCCGGAGCGAGAAGCAGAAGACAGAGGCCCCACUGGGUAAACCGCGUGGGCCCGAUGCCCAAGCAGAGUGUGGAGCCGGGGAGGAUGUGGCUGGACCACGGGCAGCCAGCACGCCUGCGCUCUGGCUCACGGGUGACCAGGUGGAAGGAUCUGGCCGCCUCACCCAGCAGCGCUGGCACCCCCACCUUCAGCCAUCCGAUCCCUAACCCCCGGGCUCAGGGAGGGGCGAGCCAUGCCCUCCGUGUGUUGUGUCUGCCCGUCCAGCACUUCCCGCCCCCCGCCCUCAUGCAGCUCUGUCUGCAGAUACACCCGAGGCGCCCAAGUGUAUCUAGAGUGAUCUAUUUUCAAAAGCCAGUAUAUUAAACAAUGAAUUACAUGGAAAUGUACAGUGUUUGCCAUGGAUUAAAAUACAUCUAUCGUUUUCUAAAGAGAAAACAGGUUUUCAAAUGAAGGAGGAAAGAGUUUUCAAGCAGUCUGAUGGUCAGACGUAGAGUUUAUUUCUCCUGGAGGAGCACAGACUCAGCAUAGAUGCAGCUGCACACGUGUGCAGGGGAUGGAAGGGGAGACAGGGUUGCAGAGCAGGCCACAUGCGAGGAGGAGGCCCGGCUUGGUCUCCGCAGGGAGCCCGCUCACACAGCCGGUCCUCCAGAGCCACCCCGCACACCGAGCCAGACCACCUCGGCCCGGGGUCCCCAGAGAUGUGGCUGCGGGUCCUGGAGGACCCAUCCCAGGCAGGACUCAGGCAAAAGAGGCCUUCCCGGCAGCGGAGCAGCCCACAGCGAGGGUCCGCGCAUCCUGGGGCUCAAGGAGCUGCCCCGCGGGCUUGGCCCUCUCCAGACAGAGCGGUGUGCCCCCUGAGCCCCUUCUCCAGGAGGCCGGGGGCCUCACUUCCCCAGCCAACAUUCAUAUGUCUCGGGACCAGCUCACGUGACACGUUCACACUUUCGUUUGGAGGAACCCCAGGCCCGUGGGCCCCCACGUGCUCUGACCAAUGUGCAGAGGGGGAGCAGGCCCCCGCGGCCAGACCUGCGGGCUCACCGUGGGCCUCGGGCUCUAAGCCACACAGGGCUUCUCCCACUUGCUCAAGACACAUACUCUUUUUUUUUUUUUCAGUCUUGAGAUUAAAAUGCUGAAAGUGCUAGUGAUUUAGAUUGUAAAAAUAACACACAUUUUUCAG